CACGUAGGGUGCGAGCGUUGUCCGGAAUUAUUGGGCGUAAAGAGCUCGUAGGCGGUGUGUCGCGUCGGCCGUGAAAACCUGCAGCUUAACUGUGGGCGUGCGGUCGAUACGGGCAUCACUGGAGUUCGGCAGGGGAGACUGGAAUUCCUGGUGUAGCGGUGAAAUGCGCAGAUAUCAGGAGGAACACCGGUGGCGAAGGCGGGUCUCUGGGCCGAUACUGACGCUGAGGAGCGAAAGCGUGGGGGAGCGAACAGG
rnacentral:rRNA from 1 species